rnacentral:lncRNA from 1 species
UGUGCGACGACAAUCAGAUAUUUAUAAAGCGCUCGUGCUAUUGUAGACCGCGUCCUGGACGCGUCUGCUCGUUUUGUUUCAGUUCCAUCUUUGUGGAGGUUAUGCGAACUACCUAAAGAAUUCAGGGUUAUAUUAUUUUCUCCCACCUGUCACUCUGUAAUUUUGAAAGAAUAUGGAAUUUUUUAAGAUUGGUGUGAGGCCUGUAGGGUUAUGUCCUACACAUUGAGGCUAGACUCAAGGCUGUGCUCGAUAUAACAUAAUAGUGGCUUUCUGGAUUUCCUACCUCAAGUACAAAGCAUGGGAUAAGCUGUUGAUAUUUGCACACCCAUAGUUCGUUUCUACUGCAAUGUCACUCAGAUAUUGUCUGUAGUUCUAGUUUAUGAAGUGAAAAGUGUGACAGUGGUGAAGGCAUUCCAAAUUACAUCUGCUUUUCUUUGUACGGCCCUCUUGGGUGGAACUGGGCAUGGAAAGAAACACGAUUUUCCAUUCUCUCGUGGUUAUCCUCUCCAGUGAGAGGACUAGAGAAUGCGGAUAAUUGCUUCAUCCUUUGAAGUACUUGGAGCAUUCCCAAAUGCAAUAAACUGCUGACCUCCUCAAGACAGCGGUGAAAUGAGAAGCCUAUGGUCAUGGUGUCCUUUGGAUUUCAUGCAGGGAGAAGCAGUGUGUUUUAUUAAGAGAGAGCUGCAUGGUAUUAUACCUCUUGCUGUAAUGUGGAUGAAUCGACAGUGCAAAAGAAGAGGAUAGGGAAUCUCUUUUCAACAGUUGUCCGUGACUUUGUAUCAGACUGGUAUUAAUCUGGGAUUUAUUUUGGGAGAAACUGUCAGGUAACAAAUGCUUAUAGUUUCUCUUGAGUCUGUUAUGCAAUGCAAUAUUUCUCGGUUUCCCAUGUGAAGAAAAUAAUUUUUAUUGUCUGUCUGUUUUUUAAUGUGUUUAUAUCGUUUAACUGAAAUUGAUCAUGUAACAUUACUUUUAUCUAGCAUUCUGUAGUAUCUUUAUCUAAAGUAAGCUUGGCAACAUUGCCCUUCCAUCUAAUGGUCAUGACUGUACGGCACAGGAAGAUGUAUUAGAUUGAGCAUAUGGUAGCUGUCAACCUUUUUCUGGCUCUUUUCUGGGCUCAGGUAGUCGUUUCUGUGUGGCCUGAGUAAAUUCUCUGCAGUUACACUUCCUUCGGCUGUGUACAUUGGUCUUUGGUCAAUUAUUCCAAAUAGUCCUUGAGCCCCCUCAUUACUUGGUCCACGAAGUUUGUUGAUUAUUUUCUACAGUCUGUAGUGGCACAAUUAGCUUGUGUCACUAAUUUAGGACAAUGAAUGAUGUGUGUAAUGUAUUCCAAUAUUCUGUGAUUAUUUAUGUACACCUGUGUCUCCUGAUUUAUUUGAAUGUUAUGUCCAUGGCAUGGCAAUCGUGUCAUUUUAUAUUGACUGGCUCUGUUUGGACUUUGUAGUGUCACAAUUGUGUUUUUAUCACUCAAGUUUGCUCACCCAGUACGUGUGGUUCCUGGCUCAUAUUACCAAUGUCGAUUGGAAUUAUCUUUGAUGUAAUAUCUGUUUGCGAAAAAUUUUUCACUUAAGCAAGCUGCUUUGAAAUGUUGGUUUUAUUUAGUUGUGUUGAGAGUAGCUGUUUGGCAUGGUUUUUUUUUGCAUGUGUUGUUUUUGAGUUGUCUUUAAUUCAAGGACAAUAUAUCUCCAUUUGUUUCAUUUCUCAGCUUAGAAUUUGCUGAUAUCUUGUCUUAGCAUUUCAGCUGCUGUGAGUAAAAACUCUUGCACUUUGAACUCUAAGUUAUUUUUGUCAAACUAGUUUACUACUUGCACAUUUUUCUGCUGUUUGUAUCAAGUAAGUUAAUGCCUGCUGAUUUAGUUAAUGUAUCAGUUUAAGUUUUAACUCACCAUUUGGACUUGUAUACUUUCUGAUGAGUUUUGGUACUUUGAAUCAUACCCUCUGCUGUAUUUUCUGAUUAAUUAGUUCAUAAAUCUCAAGAUUAUUCCUGAAUCUUUACUGUUGUUAGUUGUCAUUCAUCUUUUCUCUGGUCUAUAGCUGAGAUCAUGGUCAUCUCUAUCCAUGUUUCUGUCUUGCCUAAACCCAUCUACGGACAAUUUUAUGGGCAGAUGAAGAUUGUUUCCAAUGUCUUUGAUGUGCAGGAGUACUUGUUGUGUGUGGGGAA